rnacentral:rRNA from 1 species
UGGGGAAUAUUGGGCAAUGGGCGCAAGCCUGACCCAGCAACGCCGCGUGAGGGAAGAAGGUUUUCGGAUUGUAAACCUCUGUCGCAAGGGACGAAGAAGUGACGGUACCUUGUGAGGAAGCCCCGGCUAACUACGUGCCAGCAGCCGCGGUAAUACGUAGGGGGCGAGCGUUGUCCGGAAUUACUGGGCGUAAAGGGUGCGUAGGCGGCACUACAAGUUGGAUGUGAAAUACCCGGGCUUAACCUGGGGGGUGCAUUCAAAACUGUAGAGCUAGAGUGCAGGAGAGGGAAGCGGAAUUCCUAGUGUAGCGGUGAAAUGCGUAGAUAUUAGGAGGAACACCGGUGGCGAAGGCGGCUUUCUGGACUGACACUGACGCUGAGGCACGAAAGCGUGGGGAGCAAACA